AUGAUGGGAACGUCUAUUUAGUAAGCUACGUUCGUUAUAGGAAAUAACCAGACAAGUCGCCCCACCAACUAAGAACGGUCAUGCACCACCACCCACAGAAUCAAGAAAGAGCUCUUAAUCUGUCAAUCCUUCACGUGUCCGGGCCGGGUAGGUUUUCACGUGUUGACUCAAAUUAAGCCGCAGGCUCCAUUUCUGAUGAUGCCUUUCCGUCAAUUCCUUUUAAGUUUCAGCUUUGCAACCAUACUUUCCCCGGAACCCAAAAGCUUUGGUUUCCCGGAGCCUGCCCGGCGUGUCAUUUGAGAAACACACAUGGAUCGCUGGCUGGCAUCGUUUAUGGUUAGAACUAGGGCGGUAUAUGAUCGCCUUCGAAGCUCUAACUUUCGUUCUCAUUAAUGGAAACAUUCUUGGCAAAUGCUUUCGCAGUAGUUCGUUUUGCGACGGUCCAAGAAGUUCACCUCUAGCGUCGCAAUACGAAUGCCCCCGUCUGUCCCUCUUAAUCAUUAGCUCGUGUUCCAAAAACCAACAAAGUAGAACCGAGGUCCUAUUCCAUUAUCCCAUGCACAAUUAUUCAGGCGUCACGCCUGCUUUGAGCACUCUGAUUUUUUCAAAGUAAACUUGGCGGUCACCCGAGACAACCG
rnacentral:rRNA from 1 species